UGUAUUUUGAUCUAUUGGACUUGGUUCAAGUUUCACAAUGGAUUAAUGGUAUUAGUUAUGAGUUUUGGGUACUUGGACGGUUGAAAAUUUCUUUAAAAAACUAACUUUUACAUCUGAGUAUUUAAAGUUCUCAUAUAGUGUCGGAUUGAAAUAAAACUUAUACCAUUAGUUAGCUUAUUGAAUAAGCUUCACGUGGGCACUUGAAUCACUCUAAUCGAACAUCGGACGUGAAAAUGGCGUGUGUUCGAAGUUCAUCCAAAAAAGCUAUCAUGACUGCAUUGCUGUCAUGGACAGGUGCGCUGCGGUGCAUGGUAUAGCGAGAAAAUUUAACAUUCUGUGCCACAUGCUGCAGUGCACGAACCACGAGCCGCGGCGCAUGGACUAAAACACUCAAAAAUAACAUUUUUGGCCCUGUUUUGAAGUGGUUUGCUUCCCAAAACUUUUCCAUGCUUCCAAAGCCUAUACAAAUCAUUAAGUUUGAGCUCAAACUAUCAAUUUAAAGGGUUUUUAUGGGAUCCCAAUUAUUCCACAAUUAUUUUUAAAAGAUUAUUAAUUUAAACCCUUAUAUGGAUAAUGUGAGCUUCUUGCUCCUAAGUUAUAAUUGUUUGUUGUGAUUGUAUAGUGAAUUUUGAUAAUGUCGUGGUGGACAUUAUACUUUAUGACCGUUGAGAGCUCAGCUACACGAUAGGGAAUUGUUGGUGGAACUUAUUGUGAAGUUAAGGAACAAGCUAAGUCUUAUUUUGUACAAGGAAAACCCUUUUAAUACCAAAGGGUUGAGGUCCAGGCGAAGGAUUCAUUGGUGGAUGGGGAAAGGAGCUAAGCUAGGGGUUUUCUUGUAAUUUGUAAAGAACUGCAACCCCUUUCUUUUAAGCAAGUACAUUGUAAUAUAUUUAGGAUUAGGGUACCAAUAGGAUGUGAUUAUAUAUAUGUGUGUGAAUAUGUGUGAAUCGUAUACCUUUAUAUGAAUUUUUAUCUGCUUGUAGACUUGUGAUUAGGAAACUUGGUUAUGGUGUGUGGUUUUGAUGAAUUUAUUUAGCAGAUGAAGUUUCUACUACAAGCAGACAUUUAUUUUGAUAUAUAUGUGAU